AAAGGAUUUGAUGGUCAUGUUUGGAAUACGUUUAACCGUAAAUGUGCUCAAUCAGAGUUGACCUACCUAGAGCUAUACAGCAACAACAAUUGAAAGAUCAUUGUAUAUGUUCAAAUAUACGUGAGUGUCAGAAAAGAGGUGGCAGUGAGUGGCUGUGUGAUGUUGGUUUGCUUUGGCAAUUGGACACCCGUCAAAAAGUGAUGAGGAAACGAAGUCGCAGGGGAUGACACCUGUGUUAUACCUCCAGGCUGAAUUAUCUUGUAUCUAAAAUUAUAUUUCGGAAAAAAGCAAAAACAAUACGGGAGUAAUUUGAGGACACUUUAGGCUGCUGUUUCUACCGAUCGCGUUUGCAAUGACAGCAAGACACACGAGUGACACCUUUGAUAGCAGACAACAUUUCUGGAAAGCUUAUCCACGCAUGCGCAGGGACUAGUUCCGGAAGGAACACAGGAAGAGUCUCAUGCGCAUGCGUGGUCAUUCGAAAUCCAAGCUUCGCGCCCUUAUUCAUUCUCUUUCUCGCUGGCUGGCGAAGAGCCAAGACGUUGUAGCAGUCUCUCUCCAACAUUCCAACUCUGGAGCUAGACAAAUAACCACUCAACAUCAUUGACGGCAUCUCAGCAACCAAAGGGCGAAGUGCUGCCUAUUUCCUCUGUAAAUAAAUAUUGUUGUGUUGAUAGUUCAGAAUCUGCAUUCCGUUGUUUCUUCUAGAAAUUUAAUGUACGGAAGCGGUACACCUAAUGGUGUAUAACCACUUUCCUACAAUUGGUGACCCCAACUCAAGAACAAACG